rnacentral:rRNA from 1 species
AUUGAACGCUGGCGGCAGGCUUAACACAUGCAAGUCGAGCGGGGGAAGGUAGCUUGCUACCGGACCUAGCGGCGGACGGGUGAGUAAUGCUUAGGAAUCUGCCUAUUAGUGGGGGACGACGUCUCGAAAGGGAUGCUAAUACCGCAUACGUCCUACGGGAGAAAGCAGGGGAUCUUCGGACCUUGCGCUAAUAGAUGAGCCUAAGUCGGAUUAGCUAGUUGGUGGGGUAAAGGCCUACAAAGGCGACGAUCUGUAGCGGGUCUGAGAGGAUGAUCCGCCACACUGGGACUGAGACACGGCCCAGACUCCUACGGGAAGCAGCAGUGGGGAAUAUUGGACAAUGGGGGGAACCCUGAUCCAGCCAUGCCGCGUGUGUGAAGAAGGCCUUAUGGUUGUAAAGCACUUUAAGCGAGGAGGAGGCUACUUUAGUUAAUACCUAGAGAUAGUGGACGUUACUCGCAGAAUAAGCACCGGCCAACUCUGUGCCAGCAGCCGCCGUAA